rnacentral:rRNA from 1 species
CCUACGGGCGGCAGCAGUGGGGAAUUUUGGACAAUGGGCGAAAGCCUGAUCCAGCAAUGCCGCGUGUGUGAUGAAGGCCUUCGGGUUGUAAAGCACUUUUGGCGGGAACGAAAAGGACCGUGCCAAUACCAUGGUCUGAUGACGGUACCCGCAGAAUAAGCACCGGCUAACUACGUGCCAGCAGCCGCGGUAAUACGUAGGGUGCAAGCGUUAAUCGGAAUUACUGGGCGUAAAGAGUGCGCAGGCGGUUUUGCAAGACCGAUGUGAAAUCCCCGGGCUUAACCUGGGAACUGCAUUGGUGACUGCAAGGCUAGAGUGUGUCAGAGGGAGGUGGAAUUCCGCAUGUAGCAGUGAAAUGCGUAGAUAUGCGGAGGAACACCGAUGGCGAAGGCAGCCUCCUGGGAUAACACUGACGCUCAUGCACGAAAGCGUGGGGAGCAAACAGGAUUAGAUACCCGAGUAGUC